UGAACGCUGGCGGCGUGCCUAAUACAUGCAAGUCGAGCGAACGGACGAGAAGCUUGCUUCUCUGAUGUUAGCGGCGGACGGGUGAGUAACACGUGGAUAACCUACCUAUAAGACUGGGAUAACUUCGGGAAACCGGAGCUAAUACCGGAUAAUAUUUUGAACCGCAUGGUUCAAAAGUGAAAGACGGUCUUGCUGUCACUUAUAGCUGGAUCCGCGCUGCAUUAGCUAGUUGGUAAGGUAACGGCUUACCAAGGCAACGAUGCAUAGCCGACCUGAGAGGGUGAUCGGCCACACUGGAACUGAGACACGGUCCAGACUCCUACGGGAGGCAGCAGUAGGGAAUCUUCCGCAAUGGGCGAAAGCCUGACGGAGCAACGCCGCGUGAGUGAUGAAGGUCUUCGGAUCGUAAAACUCUGUUAUUAGGGAAGAACAUAUGUGUAAGUAACUGUGCACAUCUUGACGGUACCUAAUCAGAAAGCCACGGCUAACUACGUG
rnacentral:rRNA from 1 species